rnacentral:rRNA from 1 species
AUUGAACGCUGGCGGCAGGCCUAACACAUGCAAGUCGAGCGGCAGCACGGGUACUUGUACCUGGUGGCGAGCGGCGGACGGGUGAGUAAUGCCUAGGAAUCUGCCUGGUAGUGGGGGAUAACGCUCGGAAACGGACGCUAAUACCGCAUACGUCCUACGGGAGAAAGCAGGGGACCUUCGGGCCUUGCGCUAUCAGAUGAGCCUAGGUCGGAUUAGCUAGUUGGUGAGGUAAUGGCUCACCAAGGCGACGAUCCGUAACUGGUCUGAGAGGAUGAUCAGUCACACUGGAACUGAGACACGGUCCAGACUCCUACGGGAGGCAGCAGUGGGGAAUAUUGGACAAUGGGCGAAAGCCUGAUCCAGCCAUGCCGCGUGUGUGAAGAAGGUCUUCGGAUUGUAAAGCACUUUAAGUUGGGAGGAAGGGCAGUUACCUAAUACGUAUCUGUUUUGACGUGCCGAC